AUUGAACGCUGGCGGCAUGCCUAACACAUGCAAGUCGAGCGAGCGGCGGACGGGUGAGUAAUGUCUGGGAAACUGCCUGAUGGAGGGGGAUAACUCCUGGAAACGGUGGCUAAUACCGCAUACCAUCAGAUGUGCCCAGAUGGGAUUAGCUAGUAGGUGGGGGAACGGCUCACAUAGGCGACGAUGCAUAGCUGAUCUGAGAGGAUGACCGGCCACACUGGAACUGAGACACGGUCCAGACUCCUACGGGAGGCAGCAGUAGGGAAUAUUGCGCAAUGGGCGAAAGCCUGACGGAGCCACGCCGCGUGAAUGAAGAAGGCCUUCGGGUCGUAAAGCUCUUUUAGUGGGGAGGCGUUACCCGAUGAGGAAGCACCGGCUAACUACGUGCCAGCAGCCGCGGUAAUUC
rnacentral:rRNA from 1 species